rnacentral:rRNA from 1 species
ACUCAAAUGAAUUGACGGGGACCCGCACAAGCAGUGGAGUAUGUGGUUUAAUUCGAAGCAACGCGAAGAACCUUACCAGGUCUUGACAUCCCCCUGAAACACCUAGAGAUAGGUGCCUCCUUCGGGACAGGGGAGACAGGUGGUGCAUGGUUGUCGUCAGCUCGUGUCGUGAGAUGUUGGGUUAAGUCCCGCAACGAGCGCAACCCUUGAUCUUAGUUGCCAGCAGUAAGAUGGGCACUCUAGGAUGACUGCCGGUGACAAACCGGAGGAAGGCGGGGAUGACGUCAAAUCAUCAUGCCCCUUAUGACCUGGGCUACACACGUACUACAAUGGCCGGUACAGCGGGCGGCGAAGGAGCGAUCCGGAGCGAAUCCUGAAAACCGGUCUCAGUUCGGAUUGCAGGCUGCAACUCGCCUGCAUGAAGUCGGAAUUGCUAGUAAUCGCGGAUCAGCAUGCCGCGGUGAAUACGUUCCCGGGUCUUGCACACACCGCCCGU